ACCCUGAUCCGCUAAGGUGGUCCCUCACCCACGGGGGCGAUGGCCUCCAGGGCGAGGCCUAACCAUUGCACCUCGGAUGGGCUGACCCCUGCGAUCGCCCCAAAUGUGGGCGACUCGAGUACGAAAUUUUUUAGUGGGGGGGUCUGCGUUCGCGCUAACCCCCG